GAUGAACGCUGGCGGCGUGCUUAACACAUGCAAGUCGAACGGAAAGGCUCCUGCUUGCAGGGGUACUCGAGUGGCGAACGGGUGAGUAACACGUGGGUGAUCUGCCCUGCACUUCGGGAUAAGCCUGGGAAACUGGGUCUAAUACCGGAUAGGACCACAUUUUGGAUGGUGUGGUAGAAAGUUUUUCGGUGUGGGAUGAGCUCGCGGCCUAUCAGCUUGUUGGUGGGGUAAUGGCCUACCAAGGCGUCGACGGGUAGCCGGCCUGAGAGGGUGUACGGCUACAUUGGGACUGAGAUACGGCCCAGACUCCUACGGGAGGCAGCAGUGGGGAAUAUUGCACAAUGGGCGCAAGCCUGAUGCAGCGACGCCGCGUGGGGGAUGACGGCCUUCGGGUUGUAAACUCCUUUCGCUAGGGACGAAGCGCAAGUGACGGUACCUGGAGAAGAAGCACCGGCUAACUACGUG
rnacentral:rRNA from 1 species